UACAGAGGUGCCGAGCGUUAGGCGGAAUCACUGGGCUUAAAGCGUGUGUAGGCGGACUCCUAAGUACCUUGUGAAAUCCCACGGCUCACCCGUGGAACGGCUGGGUAUACUGGGCGUCUUGAGCCUUCUAGGGGCCAGCGGAACAAAUGGUGGAGCGGUGAAAUGCGUAGAUAUCGGGAGGAACACCUGUGGCGAAAGCGGCUCACUGGACCACAACUGACGCUGAGGCGCGAAAGCUAGGGGAGCAAACAGG
rnacentral:rRNA from 1 species